AUGUCAAUCAUCAAUGUCCUUUUCUAACAGAUGCUAUUAAAAUGUUUUAUGAUAUUUUAUAUUGAUUGUUUUUCAGAUGUGUACAGCAACGACUCUCAUCCAACAUCAUUAAUACUCCUUGGGAUUCCUGCUGAGGAGUUUCUGAAGAAACACAGGGCUGAACUCAUUCAGGGAGUCAAAAACACAAAGCCAAUAGCAGAUGUUCUGUCAUCAAAGUACAUGAUUGGUGAUGAAGAGUACUCCAGAAUAAAAGCUGAAACAACUGAACAGGAGCGAAUGAGAGAACUACUGAACGCAGUCCUCCCUAAAGGACAAGAAGUGACGGGAGCUUGUCUAAAAGCUCUCAGUGAACAUGAACACCAUCUUGUUAAGUACUUGAGUGAAUCUAGCACCUAAUCUGAAGAUAAUGAGGCCUGUCUCUAGUCUUUGGACAAAGACACUUCACCUAAUCUGAAGAUGCUGAGGCCUGUCUCCUAGUCUUUGGACAAAGACACUUCUUCACCUAAUCUGAAGAUGCUGAGGACUGUCUUUUAGUCUGUGGACAAAGACACUUCUUCACCUAAUCUGAAGAUGCUGAGGACUGUCUUUUAGUCUGUGGACAAAGACACUUACAUGAUUGUAAGUGAAGACCCCCCCGCCCCGAAAUGGAUAAAAAUUAAUGGGAACAUAUUGGCACUGUACGAAACAUAUGCACGGUGUCCAAUACCACUCAAAUAUACGCCAUUUCAUUCAAAGCUUAUGGCAAAUGUCAUAGGGCAAAUGCCAAGUGUCAUACAGCAAAAAUCCAAAAGAUGGCGAGCGCGCUCCACCGUAGAUUUUCAUAUUGCAAAUGCACAUCAAGACCCAAGAGUCAAAUGUUGAUGUACCACCCCCCUAAAAAAGAGCUUUCUGGACCGUUUUGUCAAUUAUACAUGUAUAAGAACUGUAUGAACAUACUUUUGUCAUAUUUUAUUGUCAUAAUAAAAAAAUUUAAAAAAUG